UUCAUGUUUAGAAAAAUGUUUCUGUUGAAAAUCACACAUCAGUUUAGCUGAACUCCAUUUUUAACUAUGACACUGAAGCAUGUCAUUUAACAAAUCAAAGAGGAAAAUAAAAGCAAUUUGAUUGCAUGUAACCUAAAGGCUAGUUGUAGUGUUCUUGAGGAAAUACUCGCCAGAGUCCAGCUCUUCCACCAUCUCUCCUUUUGCUGGUAAUCACUGGAACAUUUCUGCUUUUUAGGAAAGAGGUAGAAAAUUAUUUGUAAAGAAGUGGCUGUAUGCCAUACCUCUCUUAGCAUUUAGAGGACUUCUUGAUUUUACAACUACUAAGAGUUUGUUGUCACAAACUUUUAGAUUUACCUAUUGUAAGACAUAAUAGGCGGGCGCCUGGUGUGUUCUGUGACUCUUGAUUGCUAUUUUAUACUGUUAGCUUCCAAUCAAGUUGUGGAAAACAUAUUUACCUGGGCAUUGAUCAGGACAGGAGCACUAGAAACUUGCUGAGAGAAUGCAAUUGACUUAUUUUUAGAUAUUAAGAAUGACUUCUGAUAGGAAACCUUCUGGUGGACUGCAGGCAUGGCACUGGCAUUGCCAGCACUCUGCAGGGCUGGGUCUCACAAAUAUUUGUCAUACAAGUUACACUCAUUUUUCUGGAUUACGAUGUGUUUGGACUUAAGAAUCUAUAUUCUGUGGACAUAGCAGUAUUUAGCUGUGGGGUUUGUUUCAAAAGAAUUAUAACAUAAAGCUCUUCAGUAGUUAAUGAGACUUAAAUUUUGAGAUGAGAAAAUUGCACGAGGUUAUUUUACAGCAAAAUACCCAAUGGGUACAGCUUCUCCAUAGCCUUUCUUAUUUCAAAGUGGAUGUUUAAAAGAAAUUGGCACAAUAAUAUUCUGUGUAUGUACUAUGUGUGUAUCUUCUAGACAUUUGAUUAACCUAUGAUGAUUCCAAAGGAUACUUGUAACAUACUCUAGUUUUAUUGAUGUGCAACAUAUAGGAAGGAUCUUAUGGCUCUUUGGAAAUGUAAAGACUGGAAGUUUUUGUCUUGGGAGUAACAUGUGUGGCACUUGUCUUUUGCUUGGAGAGUGCUGCAGUUUAUAAUGUGCAGUAUUAUAUCCUUUUUGCUAUUUGUCCUUUCAGAGAAUGACUUAAUUUUGUAGUUGAUUAUUUUGAAACACAAUCCAAAUUAUGCGCAAGACUUCUGUAUUUUCGUUUUAGCUGAAAGUACUCAAUAUGUUCUAAAAAAUUGGAUGUUCCAUUUAUCUUAUGUCUGAAACAAAAUAACUUAUAUGGUAGCUGGUAACUUGAAUCUGUACAAUGUCAUUUCUUUAUGAAGAUGUUAUUUCCUUUGCAUUAUAGUUAGAUUGUAAAUUAAUCUAGUUGGUGUGGUAGGCUAUGUGAGAUGUUCUCUAAUGACCUUGUGGUAAGUGUUUCUUUGGAAAUAAAAGAUGGGAUACUCCAGAUUCAUACAUAGUUAUAGGAAAUAAUAGAUACAUCUGAGUGUAGUGGCUCACACUUUUAAUCUCAGUUUUUGGGAGGCAGAGGCAGGAGGAACAGGAAUUUAAGGUCAGUCUGGGCUGUGUGAAACUCUGUCAAAACCAACCAACCAACCAACCAACCAAGACCCAAAAUAACAACAAAAGAAGGAAAGUAUCCAUAUCCAAUGUCCCCUUUCCCAUUUUCCUUUAGUGGUAAUGUUUGGCUGAAACAUAGCAGUGUCAUACAUAGGGUGCUGAUAAGUGGUGAGGUAAAGACACCCUCAUGCUGCCCUUUCAUAAUCGCAUACACUUCCUAGUAAUUAGAAAAUUCAUAACAUUAUUAAGUGUUUACUCACUCCAUUAAGUAUGGUAAGAUUAUGAAGUGUGGACGAGUCCUAUAGCAUUUUAAAUUGCUAUAGUUGCAUUUGAUACAUCGUGUGAAGAAGAAAUGAAGACAGAAAACCGAGGUUUAGCUAAUGUGUUUUGAAACUGAACAAUAUUAUAAACAGAAAAAGUGAUUUUUUUCUUUAAUAAAAAGGACACUAAGUUGGCUUGUCACUCAGGAUUUUUUCAGGUUAUGAGUGGGAUGUGGACCUUUGUAGACCUCAGUACUAAGUUUUAGUAACAUGUAUAUGAUGAAAGCCAACAUUUCUAGAUAUUGCUUUAGGUAAUAUUACUGAAAAGUAGUAACUGUAUAGUCAGCUGGGGUAUGGGGACAUGUGGAAUAUUUUUAAGUUAAAAUUAUUAAGGAAAAAAAAGAUAAGUAGCAAAGACAUCUUUCAGGAAAUACUUGUAAAUGAAAGUACAAACUUGAAAAACAGAAAAAUGAAACACAGGAUUGUAGAUGUGAGCUCUGUGUGCCCUCGAGAACAGUUCCCGCAGUGUCUUUCCUCAGAUCUCUGUGUUAGAGACUUGGUAUACGUAGUGAAAUGUGUUUAUAAUGGAUUGUUUUUGUCGUUAUCAACAGCUUAAAUGUAAAUGUAUAUUUCUGUCUUUAAACUAUCUUUUGGUACUUUGUCUUCUCUGAGUUUCACAAUGGUUCUUUUGGAUAGGAAAAUAAAACCAUUCAACCUUAAUUAU
rnacentral:lncRNA from 1 species